GUGGAUUAGAUACCCUGGUAGUCCACGCCCUAAACGAUGUCUACUAGUUGUCGGGUCUUAAUUGACUUGGUAACGCAGCUAACGCGUGAAGUAGACCGCCUGGGGAGUACGGUCGCAAGAUUAAAACUCAAAGGAAUUGACGGGGACCCGCACAAGCGGUGGAUGAUGUGGAUUAAUUCGAUGCAACGCGAAAAACCUUACCUACCCUUGACAUGGCAGGAAUCCCUGAGAGAUUGGGGAGUGCUCGAAAGAGAACCUGCACACAGGUGCUGCACGGCCGUCGCCAGCU
rnacentral:rRNA from 1 species